rnacentral:rRNA from 1 species
CUACGGGACGCUGCAGUGGGGAAUCUUGGACAAUGGGCGCAAGCCUGAUCCAGCCAUGCCGCGUGAGUGAAGAAGGCCUUAGGGUCGUAAAGCUCUUUCGCCAGAGAUGAUAAUGACAGUAUCUGGUAAAGAAACCCCGGCUAACUCCGUGCCAGCAGCCGCGGUAAUACGGAGGGGGUUAGCGUUGUUCGGAAUUACUGGGCGUAAAGCGCGCGUAGGCGGAUUAGUCAGUCAGAGGUGAAAUCCCAGGGCUCAACCCUGGAACUGCCUUUGGUACUGCUAGUCUUGAGUUCGAGAGAGGGGAGUGGAAUUCCGGGUGUAGAGGUGAAAUUCGUAGAGAUUCGGAGGAACACCAGUGGCGAAGGCGGCUCACUGGCUCGAUACUGACGCUGAGGUGCGAAAGUGUGGGGAGCAAACAGGAUUAGAUACCCGGGUAGUC